rnacentral:misc_RNA from 1 species
UUGGCACCCUCAUCGUGUGGAGUUGCGGUCGGUCCUAGGGUCAAUUGCUCGCCGAUAAUUGUGAGCACCGCGGAAACACAACCUGCCGCGGUCGACUCAUGCUUGCAGCGCCACCCCACCGUCGGCGGAUGGCCAGGGUCAACCCCUGGAGUUCAAGGAGCAUCUUUGUGGCUGUUGCGGGAGCGAUGGACAACCAUGGAGACUGGGAUUCUCCACCGCGGAUUCAUGGAUGCGGCUGACCCUCGCUUCACCGGGGACCUGGUGGCUCUGUGCAUAAAUUUUCGCCCGCGGGCGGGCCUCAGCCGAGGUGGUCAGUCGUUCAUUAGCUCCUUCAACAUUCAGCUUCGUGGGUCACAUAUGGCGUCCUACCUUCCAAUCACCCUUCCAUCCUUCGUUCGUGGCUAUGACGGGGAGUGGUUCUAUGUUUGGAACCUUGAAGGGAGUGUGCCCGUGUUCACUGGCCUUGUCCCGGCGGGCAAGCCCGAAUGGGACUACGACUCAGAGGAAAGGUUCAAGCCAAAGAUAGCGUAUAUACUAGACGUUGUUGCCAAGCAGCGCAAUCGAGGCCUUCUAGGUGAGAGGCUGAUCCGUACCUUCAUGCAACGCCAACUUCAACCUCUCGUGGCCCUCCAAAGGACAAUGUGGCAGUUCACCGGCGAGGGCGACUCUGAUCGCCACUCCACUGUGAACCUAGAGAAGGAGAAAGUGGUGGCCCGCGUUCUCGCCAUCAUGGUGCGGGUGACAUCCGACUUCAUGGACGAUAGUAGAGCAUUUUGUGCCGACGAUGAGGACCUUGGAGAGGCGUUUCAUGCUGACAAUGGCCUCGACGACAAGGGGAGUGGCCUCACGGCGAGGUUCAGCGUCGUAUUCAUCAUAGCUUCAUUUUCCGUCAUGACCCUUGUGUCACCUUUCGAGGGUUGGGCGACAACUCCGUUUCGCCGAGUUGCUCGGCAGGCGGAUGGUGGGCAACUCCGCCUCGCCGUGUUUCUUGGCAAGUGGGUUGGUCGGCAACUCCGUCUCGCAGAUUUGCUCGGCGGGUGGAUUGGUCGGUCGUCUUCGAGAGGCCUUUUGGCCUGCCUCAUCAAGUCGCUCGGCAGGCGGGUUGGUCGGUUAGUGGGCCGUCUUUGGGGGACCUUUUGGGCCUUCUUUGGGCACCCGGUUCUUAGGUACCCGAUAGUCAUGUUCAUGAAAGUAAAGCUCUCCAACUUCGUCUUUUCCCAACACGCUGCUUUAGAUGAAGGUUAG